rnacentral:rRNA from 1 species
AUGUCAUCACGGCAACAUAAAAAUGAACCUACUCUAUCACAUUCAAAAGUGAACCCUGCAUGUGUUGAUACUGCAUCUAAAUCACACACAGUAUUGCAUAGGAAUGCAAAAAGAAGAAGGGGAAUGACCCAUGUACAUGAAACAAAAUUGAAAAAAACAAACACUGUGUUGCAUCUAUCUGAUUCCCUUAAAAUAUCACAGCAAACACAAGAAUCGUCACGAUAUAAUGUUGCAUCAUAUUUGAACCCCAACAUCUCCAAACCCUACUCCUACCCCGUCGCUAGAUCUGCAACCACCCGCUAA